UAUAAGCAUGGAAUGCUCUUCAUAGUCACUGAAGCAGAUAUCAUACUUAGAUCAAUGUUUUCUGUAUGCUAAUUGUAAUUCUUUCUACAAAUGCUGGGUUGUUUUGUACAUUCUUUCUGUCCCCUCUACCCUCGUAUGGUUCAAGAUGUGCAGAAUUUCACACGCAUUGUGCAACUGAAGUCCAAGUUUAUGCCAGAACUUGACAUCUGCUCCAGGCUGUCUGCUGAGUGCCAUAGGAAGGGAGGAGAAACAAGACAUAAGAUUAAGGAGAUCAUGGCUGCCAUUGAUCGGAAUCCUAUCAUUGGCUCGUUGAGAGUUUGCCACCUGCAAGCACUUGUUGUGUACUUGAAGGCCCUGAGAAACUCAAAGGAAUACCUGAGCUGCCAGGAC